ensembl:lncRNA
GGACGUUGCUCUCUGCCCCGGGAACGUCGAGACUGGAGCGCCCGAGCCGAGCCACCUUCGCCGACCCGGAGCGCUGCGGCUCGACUCACCGCGGAGGCGCUCGGACGCGAGAAGCGAUUUCUGCUGCCUGGGGCCGUGGCGGUGGGGGCUGCGGAGCCCAGGAGCUUCCCACCCAGAGGAAAGGCAGCCUCACCCUCACUCUUCUCAGCGCGGACACGCCGCCCUCACCGCCGUGGGUGAGGGUCCUCAGGCUACACCCCACGGCUUGGAAUUCCACAACAUUGGACGAGGCACUCAGGACGGCCUGGCUCCCACAGACCCCUGCAGGCUGCUGCCCUGCUGCUCUGCCCGCCGCUCCUGAGUCCCGUCCAAACUGCCUGGCCUGGCCUUCCAGGCCUCCAAGUGGGGCCUCCGCUUCCCUCUUCAGCUCAUCUCCCGCCCCAGCCCGGCCCUGACCCAGUGCACCGGCCACGGAAGCAUCGCAGCCUCGACUCCACGAACACCAGGCCUGCGAACCGGGACCAUCACCGCUCCAGGAGGCGCCAAUCAAGGCCACUCGGCCGGACUCCGUGUCUGGACCUGGGCCCUGUCUUCUGCCUCCGAGUUCCCGCGCUUCCCGACUAGCCGCGGUUUCUGCACGCGCGCUUCCUCCGCUGGUACCACCCCCUCCCUUUCUGGAACUCCUUCCAGCUCAUCGUCCCAAACCCUAGCUGUCCUUCAAGGCCUGGCCCAGACGUGGCCUCCUGGACCUCCCCCUCCCCCCUGUAGUGUGUUUUGCCUUUUAUUUGUGACCUUGGGUCGCCGAGUUCCCGGGAGGGAGGGGCGAUGGGGGUCUACCGGCAGAGACGGCUAGUGGUCCCCCAGUACUCACUCUCCUCUUCCGAAAGUAAAAGAAGCUCCAAAUUUGA